rnacentral:rRNA from 1 species
GAAACUGCGAAUGGCUCAUUAAAUCAGUUAUCGUUUAUUUGAUAGUACCUUACUACAUGGAUACCUGUGGUAAUUCUAGAGCUAAUACAUGCUGAAAACCCCGACUUCGGAAGGGGUGUAUUUAUUAGAUAAAAAACCAAUGCCCUUCGGGGCUCCUUGGUGAAUCAUAAUAACUUAACGAAUCGCAUGGCCUUGCGCCGGCGAUGGUUCAUUCAAAUUUCUGCCCUAUCAACUUUCGAUGGUAGGAUAGUGGCCUACCAUGGUGGCAACGGGUAACGGGGAAUUAGGGUUCGAUUCCGGAGAGGGAGCCUGAGAAACGGCUACCACAUCCAAGGAAGGCAGCAGGCGCGCAAAUUACCCAAUCCCGAUACGGGGAGGUAGUGACAAUAAAUACUGAUACGGGGCUCUUUUGGGUCUCGUAAUUGGAAUGAGAACAAUUUAAAUCCCUUAACGAGGAACAAUUGGAGGGCAAGUCUGGUGCCAGCAGCCGCGGUAAUUCCAGCUCCAAUAGCGUAUAUUAAAGUUGUUGCAGUUAAAAAGCUCGUAGUUGAACCUUGGGUCUGGCUGGGCCGGUCCGCCUCAC